rnacentral:tRNA from 1 species
GGGCAGAUAGUGAAGCGGAAUCACCUGGGCCUUCGGAGCCCAUAUCCUGGGUUCGAAUCCCAGUCUGCCCA